ensembl:lncRNA
GCUUUUUUCUUUCCAAGGAAUAGGCCUAAGUGGUUAGAGGAUACACAUGUAAAUAAGAAAUCUUAGCCAUAUGGCCUCUUAAAUGCAUGAGAAAUGGAAUUACUAGGCUCUGAGGGAAGACCAGAAACCAUAGUAACAGCCAAAUCUCAUGAUGAUGAAGAAACUCAAAGAAUCGCCAUUUUUCUGUCCAGCCACGUGGGAUGAUUCAUGGAUUAUGGAAGUUACAUAACACUUCAGUAGGCUAUGUAAAAAGCCUGACACAUGGUCUCGGAUCAGCUGCCUUCUCUUCCUUACCUGGACAUGGCUGCGUUGUUAGUACUCCGCACUGUGCUAUGUCGCCUGGAAGAUACAAAUGUGUUUAGGUCAUGCUAUGUGCCCUCCUGUUGUCUGUGAUCUAACUGGAGAGAAAGACCAUGGCCAUCGCUGAACUGCAAAUUGUGGCCAGGACUGCCUGGGUCAUGCAUUCCCCACCUUGGAGUCAUAGGGAAGUUGUCGACUUGCAUAUCAAGUGGGUCGGAACAGAAGCAGUUAGUUUCCGUAAGGCAGAAGGACUGUAUUCCGUCAGCUGCUGUGUUGUGAGCUGCCCUAAGGAGAGGUCUUCCUGACAAGGAACUCAGGUAGCCUUCAGCCAGCAACCAGCAAGAAGCUGAGACUUGCAGCCCGACAGCCUUCAAGGAAAUUUAUCCUGCAAAUAACCACAUGAGUGAGUCUGGGGUUGGAUCCCACCCUGUCUGCCAGGCCUGGACAUGACCACAGCUCCUGGUUAACACAUUGGCUGCAGUCUGUGAGGGAUCUUGAAGCAGAGAACCUAGAUGGUUCUCGGAAUUUGGACACCUCCUGGAACCCUGGAGAUAUUGGAGACCUUGGGUUAAGUAUUGUUUUUGCAAAGAAAAUUAUUCAUUGUUUGAGUUUUCCUAAACUCCAUUCUCACGUUUAAUCCUUGAGAGUAAUGUGUCCAGAAGACGACAGCUUCUGUUUUCCUCCCUAACUUUCCCUCCAGUGUGGACUGGGUGCUGCACCCAUAGAUCAGUAGUGAUGAUUCUCCAUCCUGCUUUGUGGGAGCUUGGUACCCAAGGACAUGUGAGGGAACAAUCCCAGUUUCCAGAGAUCUCAUCUUCAGGAUAUGGGGUGGUAGAAGUAGAGAAAUUCUUUUUAUUUACUCAGCUGUUGUUCAGUCUCUCAGUCUUGUCCAACUCUUUGAGGCCCCUUGGACUGCAGCACACCAGGCUUUCCUAUCCUUCACUGUCUCCUGGAGUUUGUUCAAACUCAUAUCCAUUGAUUGUGAUCAUCAAAAGCAAUUAUCAUGUAACUUUUUGCUGUGGCGCUGUGCUGGCAACAGCAAUGAAG